AAACAUUGAAGUAAUAAUUACAUUUAGUUUCGACCUAAAAUUAGAGUUUUAACUCCUUGUUUA
rnacentral:tRNA from 1 species